rnacentral:miRNA from 8 species
ACGUUGAGCCACACGCACAAUGC